AUACGUAGGUGGCAAGCGUUGUCCGGAUUUACUGGGUGUAAAGGGCGUGUAGGCGGAGAUGCAAGUCAGGAGUGAAAUCUAGGGGCUCAACCCCUAAACUGCUUUUGAAACUGUAUCCCUUGAGUAUCGGAGAGGCAGGCGGAAUUCCUAGUGUAGCGGUGAAAUGCUUAGAUAGUAGGAGGAACACCAGUGGCGAAGGCGGCUUUCUGGACUGAAACUGACACUGAGGCACGAAAGCGUGGGGAGCAAACAGGAUUAGAUACCCGGGUAGUCCACGACGUAAACGAUGAGCACUAGGUGUCGGGGGGAUCACCCUCGGUGCCGGAGUUAACGCAUUAAGUGCUCCGCCUGGGGAGUACGCACGCAAGUGUAAAACUCAAAGGAAUUGGCGGGG
rnacentral:rRNA from 1 species